CCUAUACAUACGUACGCAUCUGACGCUCCUGUUUAACGUAAUGACGCAGUGUUGUAGGCACGGCUAUGAUGGCAGCCGUAGGCUGACAUCGAUACAUUACUGAAUAUAAAGUAUUUAAAAGUUAGCGAUAAAACCCCGACACUGUCACGUGUAGCACAUAAACAGUUUUCAGAUAGUACGCACUUAAAGCACACACCGCCCGGUCCGGGGAACGUGGCACUAUGCCCGCAGCUACUGUGGAUCACAGCCAAAGAAUAUGUGAGGUUUGGGCCAACAACCUGGAGGAAGAGUUGAAGAGGAUUCGAAAUGUCAUCCGAAAAUACAACUAUAUUGCCAUGGAUACAGAGUUUCCGGGUGUAGUAGCCAGACCAAUUGGAGAGUUCAGAAGCAAUGCAGACUAUCAGUACCAGCUACUGCGCUGCAAUGUGGAUUUGCUGAAGAUAAUCCAACUGGGCCUCACGUUUAUGAACGAGCAAGGGGAAUAUCCUCCUGGAACAUCAACAUGGCAGUUCAAUUUUAAGUUUAACCUCACAGAAGACAUGUAUGCACAGGACUCAAUUGAGCUCCUGACAACUUCAGGGAUUCAGUUCAAGAAGCACGAGGAUGAAGGCAUCGAGACGCUGUUCUUUGCAGAGCUGCUGAUGACAUCAGGAGUGGUGCUCUGUGAUGGGGUCAAGUGGCUGUCAUUUCACAGGUAUUGCUACUUAUGUAGCUUUUCAUAUAUUGGCUCAGUUAUGUCUGAAUUGUGGCGUCAACAGGAUGCAUAUUAGUUUUUCACAUCUCUUUGUUUUGUUACUCUUUCCUUAUUAGUUUGAUAACAAAGAGUAUUGAUCAGAAACACAGUAUGCUAAUUCUGGUUUCAUUUGUGUUAAAUAACCUCCAUAUAAAUACUGUGCAGUAGUUUACUCACCCCGGCAUCUUUGUGUUGUGUGUAUGAAGCUGUUGUAUUGGUAAUACUUUAUAACUGAAUUAACCCCUGAAAAAAAACAUGGAUGCUGUUGCGUUUUGUAGAUGUUUAGAUUUAUUUCUCAUCAUUUUCUCUUGUCUUUCAGUGAGAGGUAGGGUGCUAAGGAAAAGACUGAGGUUUUCGCUUCAAAGAUGUCAAAAGAUGUCCGGUUUAAUUUGUUAUUCAAAACUGAUGCUGAAGUGUAAUGAAUACUCGUACUGUUAAAAUUAGUCUGCAAGGACAGAGCAACUAUUGAGGGGUAUUUCUGCACUCUGCUGCUUAACUUUUUCAUUUCGUACUCAGUUUCCCUCUGUGUCUCCAUGGCAAACUGAUGCUAAAGAUAACCAGGCUGUGGAAAAUAAAUAAGGCUUAGGUUUGAAACAUCUCUGUCAUCUCUUUCAGUGGCUAUGACUUUGGAUACCUGAUCAAGAUUCUCUCCAAUGCUAACCUGCCUGAGGAGGAGGUGGACUUCUUUGAGAUUCUUCGCUUGUACUUUCCAGUCAUUUAUGAUGUCAAGUACCUCAUGAAGAGUUGUAAAAACCUGAAGGGAGGGCUGCAGGAAGUAGCUGAGCAGCUGGAGCUAGAGAGGAUCGGACCACAGCACCAGGCUGGCUCGGACUCUUUACUCACCGGCAUGGCUUUCUUCAAGAUGAGAGAGAUGUUCUUUGAGGAUCAUAUCGAUGAUGCAAAGUACUGUGGGCACUUGUACGGGCUCAGCUCCGGCUCAGCCUACGUCCAGAACGGAACAGGGAAUGCUUACGAAGAGGAGGCUAACAAGCAGCAGUCGUGACAUCACUCUGAAACUUCCUGUCCUGCGGUUCGCAUGCUCAGUCCAUGCGACACUGAAGCAGGCUUUCACCACCUGGAUGAUAAUAAUGGAAGAAAUUAAGACAAACACAAACCAUUUAGCAAGCUGCUUCUCAUAACCUUUGCUCACCUUAGACAACUGAGUAUGAUGGUCAAAAAAAUCCCAGCUGGCCACACACAUGCCCCUGCUAGCUGCGUGUGUGUAUGAGAGUUUAGUCUUUUAAUCCUGUGAAGCAGUAUAGGCAGCCUGGUUGAAUCAGUUCAGUUUAACAUGCUUGAAAGAUGGGAUUUUAGUUCUCCUAAAAUGUUCUGUAGACAUGUUUUGCACUUUAAAGCUCUAACCCGAUUUUAUAUGGAAAGCUGAAACUGUUUCUGGUGUCUCUCUCCUCUUUGUUGCCUUCUCUACGUUCCCAUUUUUUCAUCGUCAACAUGUCAAUCUUUACCAUCACAUCCAUAUCUGUCACCACACUCAGCCUUAAUAUAAGCUGCAUUCUUAUCUUUUAAACUUUAAUUUAUUAUUGUGCUGCUAAUCUGAAAUUUAAUAGACGCCCCGAUCAACACUAAGACUCCACAAGGUGGUACUACUUUUGUUUUUUUUAUGAUGACGAGAAAGGGAGCUCUCAGCGAGUGUGUUUACCUGCACAUAAAUAUCUCACUGACAUUUAUUUUCCUUAGAACAUUGACGAUAAUAUUUAAUUUGACUAAAUAAGCUCUUGCACUUGAAGUAGCCUUCAGUUUACACACUUAUGUUCUUCUUAUCCUUCAAAAUGAAACAUUUCCUCUUCACUAUAAGUUGCUGAUUUUGGUUUUGUCUUCAUGGCUGCUCAGAGAAGUCUGACACAGACACAUACAGUAUGUAGUAAAGCAUACAGAGGUUUUGUUGGAGGAAUGUGGAUAAUUUGUGCAUGUAAACACCCUCAUUGACACAAGCACACAACAUGCGUUGCCUCUGUACAUGGUCUUGCGCUGGUUUAACCAAAUUUAGCAGACUGAAAAUAUUUAAAAGCAGAAAACACUUUAUUGCUGUAGGAGACGUUGCAGUCGCCCUUAACUACUCUGUUGAGAGUACAUUUUCAUUUUUAAUUAAUACUAAGGUUUUGUAGUGUUUUAGCGUUGUAAUAAAAGAAGAAAACUACUCAUGGGAAGAAAAAAAAAUGUUGCUUUUAAACAUGCGACUUUCUGUUCCAUUGGAGUUCAUCUCACUUGUAGUUCUGACCUUUGAAUGACGUUUAUUUUUGUAUUGCUUUCCAGUUCAUUCAUGCCGCGUAGAACAGCCGCAUGUACUGAAACGUUUGAAUAAAUGCUGUGUUGUGUAAUAGCAUUCUCAACUUCCAUAGGUGUGUGUUGAAGUGUGCACUGCGUCAAACUGAUAACUCUCCCUUGCUGCGGCACAUCUUUCACACUGUAACCGAGUUAAAGAAGAAUAUGCAAUAUAUACAAGAGGAUUGUUUUUAGAUUUUGUAAAUAAAGGCUUGAAACUUUUCUACCAUAAAAA